AGUAAAAAAAUCUAUAUCGUAGGAAUUCCGUACCAAUAAAAAUUCAUCCUCCUCUCUUUUACUUUUAUUUUUUUGUAAUAAUUCUCCUCUCUUACAGUAUCAGAGACAAGACAAGCUAGAUUUUGAGUAGAGUAUAGAUGCCUCCAUUGGUUAUUUCAAUGGAGUCUUCAUUAACAACCAUUCCCUUGCUCAUCAAGCCCUCAUCCAGAAUGAAGCCAUCUUUGCCUCCAUUAGUUAUUUCAGUGGACUCCAUUGGUUUGAGAAGGUUGGUUACACUUAACUGGGUCUUUCCUCUUAAGUAUUUCAAUGUUUGCUAUUGCAUUCCCCUGAAACGGUGGAUUUCGAGGGAAGCAACCGCGACGAACAACUUUUAAAAACGAUCAUUUAAGUAGGAGUUUCGAAAAUGAACUUUGUUUCUUGGAGUGGACUUUUGCGAGUGCGAAAUAGGUGAUUUGAGUUUAAAAGCAAGAAUAACGAGGCGCUUCGGCUAUAUAAGGAGCGGAAGAGAUUUAUCAAACAAGCAAUCGAUUCAAGGAUAUUAGAAUGGAUAUACCUCCUCCUACAAAGAUUCCAGAAAUUAGUCCAAUGGAAGAAGAUGUUAUAAUGGGUGAAGAAAGAAGUUGACCCAAUUCCAUGGCAAUUAGAGAGUCAUGGCUAUUGGAUCAGACUUCCAAGGCUCCCUACCCUGUUAUUGGGACCUUCGAGCAGUAUCGUCUUGGUAUGGAUUUUGCUCCUCAUAAAUAUUUUUUGUGUCUAUUAAUUUUUAUAUUAAUGGAUAUGACACAUUGGCAGAAGGAUAGAUUUUCUUUACCCGUAUCAAUGUUUUGAAUGCAUUUAUGGAUGGUCUUAAAGUUGUUUUUAAUGUAAUAUAUACCAUGUCUGUAUUGAAACUUAUGCAUUGAUAUAUAUAUAUAUAUAUAUUUCAUAGUUCUUUUGUUCUUGGACGUCUUUUCGUUCCUAUAGUUCCAAUUUUCUUAGUUUACCAAUAUAUUUAGAAUAAUUUUUUUUGAAAAUAUUGGAAUUGUUGCAGGUCCUUAUCAUUGAUUGAGAGUUUGAAGAGUCAAUAGUUUCAAUUGCAAUAGAGCUUUUUCUUUUCAUCUUAUGCAAUGUAAGUGAUAUCAUGUCGUUUACCAAAGUGCUUCCAAGGAUUUACUCUUCUGUGAGUAUCUAAAUCUGAAAUUGGUAAAAAAUAUGAAUUAUUUCUUUUAGAUCCCUUUGUCAUUGUUGUGGAUAAAUAGAAAAUUUUCUAAUUCCCGUUCUCUCUCUCGCACUUCUCUUCUUAGUUUACUUCACUACCACACUCCCUCGACUUGUCUUGGACCGAAUCCAAUCUCUAAUAUUUGAGAGCAACAAUGUUGGCACAACUCUAGCACUGAGCAACAUCAACUAAACCCACUCUUGAAAUGAUGAUUGGAAGUAGAACUUCUUUGCAACUUUGUUGACAUUGUAAAAGAUGUCAGAAAUAUAAAUAUUUCUCUCAAAUUCUUUGUCAUUAUCAAUAUUUAAGUUGAUACUAUGAAAUUUCUCAAUUCUGCAUUGAGGGUCUCAUGAUCUUAUCAACUAUAAAGGCAUUGAAGGUUACUUUAUUUUUUUCUAAUGAUUUUUUAUGAAAAUUUAUUUAGCCGAUUCAACCAUAUUUUGCCAUCUUAUCUGACUACUUAUUUUGAUAUUUGUGCUCAUUGCAGCAACUCAUUAUAAUGCUCUUAUUAGCUAUCCCUUGUUUCAAUGGCAAUUUAAGGAGAAAAAUGUACGGUGAUGUUGCUCAAGGUUUUCCUAUAAAGUAGCCUAACGACCCGUUUGUGUUUUGAAUUGUAGUAACUUUUCUUGUGAUUUCAGUUUUAUAAAUUAUUCUAUAUACUUUG